UACGGGGGGGGGCAAGCGUUGUUCGGAAUUACUGGGCGUAAAGGGCUCGUAGGCGGCCAACUAAGUCGGACGUGAAAUCCCCAGGCUCAACCUGGGAACUGCGUCCGAUACUGGAUGGCUUGAAUUCGGGAGAGGGAUGCAGAAUUCCAGGUGUAGCGGUGAAAUUCGUAGAUAUUCGGAAGAACACCAGUGGCGAAGGCGGCUCACUGGACUGGUAUUGACGCUAAGGUGCGGAAGCGUGGGGAGCAAACAGG
rnacentral:rRNA from 1 species